UACGUAGGGGGCUAGCGUUGUCCGGAAUCAUUGGGCGUAAAGCGCGUGUAGGCGGUCCGGUAAGUCCGCUGUGAAAGUCGGGGGCUCAACCCUCGAAUGCCGGUGGAUACUGUCGGGCUAGAGUGCGGAAGAGGCGAGUGGAAUUCCUGGUGUAGCGGUGGAAUGCGCAGAUAUCAGGAGGAACACCAAUAGCGAAGGCAGCUCGCUGGGACGGUACUGACGCGUAAGGCGCGAAAGCGUGGGGAGCGAACAGG
rnacentral:rRNA from 1 species